rnacentral:rRNA from 1 species
GAUGAACGCUGGCGGCGUGCCUAAUACAUGCAAGUCGAGCGAACGGACGAGAAGCUUGCUUCUCUGAUGUUAGCGGCGGACGGGUGAGUAACACGUGGAUAACCUACCUAUAAGACUGGGAUAACUUCGGGAAACCGGAGCUAAUACCGGAUGAUAUUUUGAACCGCAUGGUUCAAAAGUGAAAGACGGUCUUGCUGUCACUUAUAGAUGGAUCCGCGCUGCAUUAGCUAGUUGGUAAGGUAACGGCUUACCAAGGCAACGAUGCAUAGCCGACCUGAGAGGGUGAUCGGCCACCCUGGAACGGAGACGCGGUCCAGACUCCUACGGGAGGCAGCAGUAGGGAAUCUUCCGCAAUGGGCGAAAGCCUGACGGAGCAACGCCGCGUGAGUGAUGAAGGUCUUCGGAUCGUAAAACUCUGUUAUUAGGGAAGAACAUAUGUGUAAGUAACUGUGCACAUCUUGACGGUACCUAAUCAGAAAGCCACGGCUAACUACGUG